rnacentral:rRNA from 1 species
UACGAAGGGGGCUAGCGUUGUUCGGAAUCACUGGGCGUAAAGGGCGCGUAGGCGGCCGAUCAAGUCGGGGGUGAAAGCCUGUGGCUCAACCACAGAAUUGCCUUCGAUACUGUUUGGCUUGAGACCGGAAGAGGUAAGUGGAACUGCGAGUGUAGAGGUGAAAUGCGUAGAUAUCUGGAGGAACACCGGUGGCGAAGGCGGCAUUCUGGACCAUUACUGACGCUGAGGAGCGAAAGCCAGGGGAGCAAACGGG